UAUAAGGUGUCCGAAAAAGGUGUUGGGUUGUAAACCCAAUUAUGAAGAAUACUCUUCUCUUAUAA
rnacentral:tRNA from 1 species